GCAAAGUCACCGCGGGGGCUCCGCCCCGCAGCACACACCCGCCCCGGCUUCUUCCCGAGCGCGGCUCGCGGCUGCCAGCCAGACGAGCUCGGGACAGCGCCACGACGCCGGAACCGGCGCAUCACAGCGCAUCGCCCCACCCCCCCCGCCUUCAAGCAGCCAAUCAGCGCCCUUCGCCCGUUCGGCGCGUCACAUUCCUGCGGCCAGCCCCUCCUCCCCGGGCACGUGUGCUGUGUUGUGCCUGUCACAGCCCCCCCGACAGUACCUGUCCCGCCGCGGCUCUUCCUGGGCCUGGCGCGCUCCGCGGGGACUGGGCUGCCCUCCGCCGCGCACGCGCGCGCCCCUCGCCCCAGCAUGUCCGGCUGCCCCGCCGCUGCCGCGCUCGCCGCCUGCCGCCAGGCCUGGGAGCAGGUGUUGGCCAAGGCCAAGCGGGCCGUGGUGUUCGUGGACGCGGCGUGCGCGGAGGGCCUGCACUGGGCGGGCGGCGGCGCGGGCCGGCUGCUGGAGGCCGGCGCCCUCAACGUCCAGGAGUUCUCCAGCUUUGAGGCGGGCGCGGCGGAGCAGCCCAAGGCGGUGUUCGUGGUGAGCAGCCUGCUGAAGGGCAGGGCGGUGGACAUCAUUCGCGACAUCGUCAGCCUCAGCCGCUUCCAGUACUGCGUGGUGUUCACGGCCGUCAGCCACGCCGUGCACCUGCUGGCCCAUGGGGCGCCCGGCGGCGCCGAGCCGGAGGGGGGCAGCCAGGCGGUCUUCGAGCAGUUCGAGGAGAAGCUCUGCCAGUGGAUGGGCAACAUGAACUACACCGCCGAGGUGCGCCAUGCCCCCCUGCUCCUGGCGCCCAUCUCGCCUCAUCUCUUCGUGACCCCGGCCUUUGCUUCGCUCUUCCCCAUGACGCCCCAGGACCUGGCUCGCAUCAACUCCUCCAGGCCUGAGAAGAAAAAGUUGGGCAGCUUGAACGACCUGGACUUCUCCUCUCUGCCUCCUGAGCUGCAGCUUCAGAUCCGAACCCUGGUGUCUGGCUUGAACUCCUUGUUUGAGUGCCUAAAUGUGAGAGAGGAGUGCUUUGCAAUUGGGACCCUGAGCAAGAUUAUCGCAGGGGUUUUGGCGAACUACUCACAGGCCAAAAACAGGAGGAAGACGGCACAAAACCGAGCCUCUGUCAUCUUCAUAGACAGGACACUGGAUCUGACCGGGGCAGUUGGUCAUCAUGGUGACAGUCUAGCAGAGAAGAUAUUCUCUGUGCUUCCCCGACUUCCUGGCCACACAAACGAUGUGAUGGUUAAUAUGGUGGAACUCACUGCACUGCAGACUAAAGAUGAAACUUGCAGUAUUGUAGCACCUGGCUGCUUGGCACAACCAAAUGAUCCAGCUGCCAAAGCACUCUGGGAGUCCUUAAUGAAUCUCAGACAAAAGGAGGCUGUGAUGGAAGUUAGGAGACACCUAGUGGAGGCUGCAAGUAGAGAAAACUUGCCCAUUAAGAUGAACAUGGGUAGAGUCACCCCAGAACAGCUCGGUUCACACAUCAAGCUUUUCAAAAACAAUUUCAAAGCUCUCAGGAACCACUGUGGACUUCUACAGCUUGUGCUGGCCACAAUCCAGGCUUUAAAACACCCCCAGAAUGCCAAAUGGGACAGCUUCUUAGCCUUUGAAAGGCUACUUUUGCAGAAUAUUGGUGAGUCAGAAAUACCCAGUGUUUUGAACCAGUUAUUGCCUAUGAUCAAGUCUCAUAAUGAGAGGACAGCUAAUGACUAUACCUCUGAAGACUUCCUUGUCUUGCUGGUGUAUAUUUACUCUGUGGUUGGGGAAAUCAAAGCUGGAAAAGAGCUGGAUAAAGCUGAAGAAGAAGUGAAAAAGGCUCUAAUCCGGACUUUUUGUGAUGAACCAGAACUAUCUUCCUUACUGCAAAAAAUAACACAACAUAGUUGUUGGAUUCAGGUUGCCACCUGCAUUUCUUUAAGGAAGUUUCUAUUCUUUAUGGCUGCGAAGGAGAGCUUGAAAAUGUGACUCCAAAAUAUUUCAACACCACAAGGUAAAUACAAUUUAAUAUUUUAUAAAUCCCAUAAUUUUUAAGCCACUCAUGAUUUUUGCAGCCUGACUCAUGAUUUUUGAAUGGUUGGGGUUGCCAGUACUGUAUGUGCAACACUCCACACCUAUCUUGAGUAAACUCAAGCCCUUAACACUACUUGUUUAUAUACAGAGCGAGUGCAGAGAAACCAAUAAUUAAGUGAAGGGUGUGUAGUCAGUGACUGCUUGUUCAACAUUAAAAAUGGAAGGUUUAGGAAAGACUCAUCCUUUAUAUCACAGACAGAAAUAAGGGGACAUAGAAUAAGACAAAUUCACAAAAAUGUGGUUUACCUGCCUAUGACACUUUUUCUGUUGAGUUUUCUCCUGUUCUCUCUGUAAUUCUUACACAAUUAUUUACUCAUUUUUCUUAUCCUCAUCUGGGUUUUAUUGUAUUGAUAAACAUUAUAUAGGCCGUAUUCUGAUUCAUCUUAUGAACUAUGUUAGAAGCAAAAGGAGAGCCAGUUAUCCUGAAAUUAAUCUUAGAAUCGUAGGACUGGAGGGAACUUAGAGAGGUCAUCUUGUCCAGACCCCUGCACUCAUGGCAGGACCACCCCGACAGGUGUUUGUCUAACCUAUUCUUAAAAAUCUCCAAUGAUGGAGAUUCCAAAGGCCAGCCAACUCAAGUGAAAAGCACCACCACACUGGAGAUAAGGGGUUUUUGUGUAGAUGGAACUCGAGUUAGGGGUAGCACUUGAGUUAUAACUCAAGGUAACUGUACGAUGAAGACAAGCCCUUUGAUUUUCAUUGUGAGCUGUGGGUGCUCAUCUCCUCUGAAAAUCAGAUCACUCACUCCAGGGUUAUAAUAUACCCACUUUUGAAAAAUUAAGCUACCAUUGCUGGUGCCACACGAACUGUGUUCUGUUAAGAAGGUAGCCUUCAGGACAAAGGGUAGUUUGACCAUUUUAUUUCAAUCUUCUAGAAGGGCUUCCAGUGCAAGCUUCAGAGAAAAUUGUUUGGGCUUUGUCUUUGCCUCUGUUUCAACCUGUUAAUGUGUCAAGCUUUGUGAUGCUUUUGGAAAGAAGGAAAGCAUCCCAGAGUCUGUGCCCUAUUGUACCUUAUUCCUACACGGAGGGACAGCCAGUUGUAUGUGUAAAUAGAAGUGAUACUGGGAAGAUAGCACAGUGUUUGAGAGUCAUAUUUGGACUGCUACCUUCCUUCAGAGCCCAAAAGGUCCCAGAUGCAGGUCGGGUAGGAGCUCUUCUCACAGUAUGGCCCUAAGGGGCCACCAGGGGGCAUCUGUUUGACACAAAGCUAUGGAAAUUCAAAGCCUAGACAUCUCAGAGGAAAAUUAAUGUCUUGGUUUCGCAGGUUUUUAAUUCAUGUUUAUUUUUUUAAAAAUAUUUGGGUCAUAUCAUCAGUCUGAAAAAUCAUGAAACUCUCCAAAUGAGACUUUGGAAAGGGAACCUUUAGCUUUAGUUUUUGUUGUUCUCUAGCAUUGGCACAGCAUCUUGUUUCUUCCACCUAGGAGGGACUUUUUCCUGGGGAGGAGUAACAAAUACAGACAGCCUAAUUUGUUCUUGGCAAGCCCCAGAAUCUGCAUUGCUGUGAGGGUCAGAAGUGUAAUAAUUCAUAGAUCUCCUCUUGCUGAGCUGGCCUCAGUUAAUCAGAGUCUGUCUUUUUGUACUAUUUUUUUCCUUUUGGAUGGGUAACAAGUUCCCUGAAAAUGAGCAUGAAACAUGCCGUGCUGGUAUGUAAAAACCAUGGUGCAGUUAUGUAUAUCAGGACAACUUGAGAGAACAAAUGUAAUAAAAUGUUUCUAAUACUUAUUGUCCUUGGAUGGAAGUGAAUCAUGGUAGGAAGUUCUAGCAAAAGUUUUUUUAUCUUCUCCAGUCCAUUGGCUGGUGCAGGGUGAAAGGAGCAGGUUGCACUGUCCAUGCUAGUAGAGACUACAUUUCACACUGCUCCCUCCCCUGUGGGGGAAUAUGUUUGGUGUUAAAAUAAACCUGAAACAUAUUCGUUACCUCUUUAAAACUCUAGAAUUAAGGAAUUAAAAUAAGGCUGCUAGUGUUAAAUAUGAGUGACCUCAGUCAUGUGUCAUAUGUGAAAACAAAAAAAAGCCAGAAUGAAAUGAGACUGAUAUUAGCAAAUUGAGUACAUCUAAUGUCAUGUGAGGGACAGCCUGUUCUUGUGGUUAAAGUAAGGGUCUGACAGCCAAGAGAUCUGGGUUCUUUUCUCGAUGCUGCCGUUGACUCAUCGUACGAGUCACUUAAACUUUCUGUGCCUCGGUUUACCCAAUCUGUAUAACAUAAAUAAUAACCUCAUGUGAGAGCUGUGAGCUUAAAUUCCCUAAUUAAUGUUUUAAUGCACUCUGAAAUCAUUGGAUGCAAAUUGCUAUAGAUGUUCAAGUUAUUAAUAUUAUUUAUUAAAUAACUCUAGGCUGUUAAAAUUUCACAAUGUACAUUCUAAAAAUUCAAUUUUAAAAUAUAUUUUGACCGGACCACGGUAAAGUAUAUAACUGACCUAAGGCCCAGGUUUAAACUUUCUAGCUAUUACCACGUCAGUGCUGGAGCUAUUCAAAAAACGGUUGCAAAAAAAUUUAGAAUAGCAAAAAUCUAUUUUUGUUCCCACAAUCUGUGUUCUCAGAAGUGACUGAACUAUUUUUGGUCCUGUGUUCCAAAAACAUUGACCCUUUGAGAAGAAUAAAUUGUGGAAGAUUUUAGCCCCAACAGUUAACAUUUAACAGUUAUGGGCAACUGGAAAAGGGCCUAUAGAAUGGUAGCAGGCAGCCUUAACUGUAGCUGUUACUGACUGCUGCAGCUAUGUUGAAGUGGAACGUAAAGUGGAAGUAAAGAACCACCAUAAAGUAGAACCCCAUUUUCCUUGCAUUCAGAGUUUGAUGUGUUCGGAAGGCUGGACAAAAUUCAGAUCUGAUAUAAGUGGGUGCCACAUCAUUGACUUCUGGAGGAGUUCCACCCAAAUACAGCAUGUUUUAAAUCGGUCCCCAAUUUUGGUAAUUUAAGUUCAUGGGUGGACCCAGGAGCCAUAUAGACCCUCUAUGAAGUCAACUGGUACCGAGUCUACCCAAAUUAGUCAGAUCGGGGUCUUGGUCAGUUUUCUGUAAAUUUUGUAAAUAAACUUUUAGUUGUAAAGAAGUUAGAACAAAUAAUACUUAAAUAAAAUAAUGUUCAUGGUUAUAAUGUAUGUCGAUGAAUCUACAGCUCACCAGCACCUCUCUACUAACACCAGUAAUGGCACAACUCUUCUGAACUGAACUGCAUUUUUAAAUCAAAUUUCCAGCAUAAAAUUUUAAACCAUCAGAUUAUAUAAAAUUAAAUAAGAAGGCUUAAAUUUUUUAUACAAUAGCAGGUCAUUUCUUAUGUUAAUAUUUCCCCUGCUUUUCAUAUAUACGUGUUUGUGUAUUUGAGUUGUGAACAUUUGUUUCUUUAAGCUCAGUUGAUAUGAAAACUGCACAUCCAUGAACCACAGAGCAACCCAGAUUUUCAAGGAAGUCUCUCACAUUUUGUCCCUUGUCCAGCACUCUGAUUUAAAAGAUUAUAAAUGACCAUCUUUGCUGCUGCUGCCUUUAAUUACUGUACUUGUGACAUGUCCAAGGACUUUCCUGGGGUACUUUAAUGAAUGCUGAACUAUUGGAUCAGCAAUGAGGAAACGUGGGCAGGAAAAGGAGAGAGAGGCUGAGAAGUAGAGAAUAAAAGAAAGGGAGAGAGAUUAGGUGGGAUGGGGAGUAAGGAUGAAAAUGAAGACAUGAGGACACAGAGGAAGACUAGCGAGGGAAACCGAAGAAAAUAUUGGGGCAGGAGGAAGAAAACAAAAUACAAAAAAGGGGUGAGGGUGGAGGAAGAGAAGGAGGAAAGGGAUUGAGGGAGAGAUAAGGAAAGAGGGAACAAUUGUUUCAUUUUAUGGAAAACUUAAGUCAAAGUAGAUUACUAACCAGCAUUGAGGAAAAGCUACUGCAAGGUAGAGUAGGUAGAAGGAAAGAAAAGAAAGAGUAAAAAAAGGUUACAAGGAAAGAGAAAGCACAACAAAUCAAGGGAGAUAUUGCUAUUUGCAUUCUAAUUGUUUUUAAAAGCAUGUUGCCAAAAUAUUCAUAAAUAAUCCUGAAUUGUAUUUAUCUAUUUUUAUACAAACUGAUGGUUUUGGUCAACUGAUAGGUAUUAAGCAGUCCUGAUUUUUAUGAGCCACUCAAAAGGCAUUGGCCAAACUGUUUGCUGUUUGUUAGUGCAUAGGAAACCCAACUGAGAUUCAACAAUGAGGUAAGCUUUUCCUGCUUUGGGUUAUGGUUAAAAAGAAGAGCCAAGUCGUUCUGAAUAGGAUGAAGUUUAGAGAACUAGGAUUUAAGGAGACUGGAAAGGAAGAAAUGGCAGCAGUCAGGAUGAAAUGACUGAAAGCAUGCACAAGUUUUGGCAGAGGAGUUAGUAAGCAGGCUGACAGAACAGGGGGAAGUGGAGUAUUUAACUGCCUUAGCAUCUUUAAUGUAACUUAAUAUUCAUUUAAUAAAAUAUGUAAUGUUUGUUCCUAAUGCCUUGCAUUUAAGCAUUUAGUUUAUUUAUGUUGUUUUUUGA